GGAGAGCCGACGCUCCUCCGUUUACGGAACAGCGGCAGAGCGAGAGCAUCACUCCUCCUCCUUUAGGGUUGGCGCUCGUGGAGCCCGGAUAACCGUCUCUUCUCCCGUGGAGGAGGAGAGUGCUCGCCACAGAAGGACAGACUGGCAAAGGCCACCUCGUUUGUGAGUAGAGAAACCCAGCCUCUCGCCGGGAAGGUGAGGGCGUGCUGGCCUUCAGACACAGAUGGAUCUAAGUCUGGUAAGAUGGCAGACUUCGCAAAAAAAACAAAAGCAAAAGCAAACGAAACCAGGACACCCAGUUAAAUUUGAAUUUCAGAUGAAGAAUAAAUAACUUUUUAGUGAAAGUAUGUCCCAUAUCUGUUCUUCCCCUGAGAUUCAACUUUAUUGGGGCAAAUCUGUAUUUCCCCGGCCACUUCUACCCAGGGGUUCAGACAGGGGUCCCCGCCUCUCUCUCCUUAUCUCGAGGGCUGCGCCCUGUUUAUGGUCUCAUUCUGUAAACAUCUGCUUCUCACCAUCCCAGAGGAAGAGAGGCCUUUAUCUUCCUCCGGCUGCAGGAAGACCUCAGGGGGCGAGGUAGGUGCCCACCCCUGAACCCACGGUGGGGGCAGGAGCGCUGACCCCAGUAGGCAGCUGUGGGGAGUGGGCUCGGCCUCGUUCAGGCUCCACCCAGUCUGUUCCCCUCGGGAGAGAGGGGGUCGGUUGCCAGAAAACGGUGUGGGGAACACGGGGUCAGCUGGACCCCCGAUCUCCUACGGGGUCACGGCCUGCCUAAACACCGGGCAAGGUUCAAUCCACUGGAGUCAUGACAACAAGCGCUGCUCUUGUUUCUGAAGGAUUUUCUCUCAUUUCAGUUCUUUUCCCUGGUGGUCUAAUAGAAUCCUUCUGGGUCAGCAAUAACGCGCUUCUCUUCCAUUUUGUAAAUCUGCACAGGCCUGCGGUGUGGUCGGUCCUGGGGGGACGGAGGCUGGGAGGCUGAGCCCCACGAAGAUGGAAAGUCGAUGCCAGUGAUCACAGAGGAUGUAGAAAAGGAGUCUGAACUUCUGCUCCAGAAGCUGUUAUUACGUUUAAACUUGGCAGAAAAGCAGCCACCCCGGAAAUUCAUACAGCCAGCGACGAGAAUAAUAAUUAUUACAAUGAAGGCAUGUUCUGGAGUCAGAGCCAUACCGCCUGGGACCAGCGCGGUCCCGAGCUGCCUGCACCUGGCAGCGCCCUCCUUAGGACACGGCAGAGCUUCGAGGACGCGCAUGUCACUGCGAGCUGCUCUGUGGGCAAAUCUAGGGGUAACGCAGGGGUGGCCUCGUCCCGAGGCUCCAGCACAGCGGGGUGCCGGUGGGCAGGUCGUGACAGGAGCCACGGUAGGCGAGGAGGGGCUCAGCUCUGUCUCUCCCAGUCGCCUCUCGUUGGGACCUGCUGGGAGGCAGAAACCCCAGAACGUUCCAGACCAGGGCCCUCAGCCCCCCUGUGCGAGGGGAGUGGGCUGAGAGGUGAGAUAAACUCCCCGCUCUCUGCAGGGGGAGUUGGUGGGGGCGGGACAACGUGCAAACGCCCUCUCCCUGCUGGGGGGUUUCCUGAGCGCUGAGGGACAUGCGCCACCUUCCUGCCCCUCCUGGGACAGCCACCACCCUCAGGGUCCCUGCGGCAGCGCUGUGGGACCAGGCUGCUGUCCAUUUCAGAACAAAAGUGAAAGUAAAAUAGAAACGAUUUUAACUCCUCUGUCCGCUGAUGAAGAUCCCAUCCAGCAAGGCUCUUCUCAGAGCAAAGCCGUGGGGCUGAGGGGCGCGGCGGCCAGAGUCCCGGGGGCCAGGCCGCCCAGCGGGGGACAAGCAUGUGCACCCGGCUUCUGCCGUCUUCCUGGUGAGCCGCCCAGGCAGGUGACUCAUGGCUCUGAACCUUCAUUUCUUCAUCCAUCACCCGUGCAAAUAACACCUUCAUCACCGGUUGAAGAGUAGACGGAGAGACUCGCUUUCCCCUGUCCUCGGCGUGCUCGUCGCGAAUGAGAGGGUAGAGACGAGGGGCCCCUGUGAGCCUGGCCGGCGGCCCGGGGGGCUCUGAGCCCCCAGCAGGCCGUGUAAACGGUUCAUUUCCACGCACAGAGCUUAUGAUCCUGCGGAGUUUUGUGACCCAGAGGAGAAGAAGAAUUGCUCUUGGAUUCAUGGUCGUGGGUGCCUGGAGGCAGCUCCUGACCCUAUGCUGAUGGACGCCCUGCAGGACGGCUCAUGGCGUUUCUAGGGGAUUCCUGGUCCACCCACAGCCAGGCCCCAGCACUCCUUCCAGCUGCCCAGCUUUUCCUUGAAAUGCAGAGAAAGAGGCUCUUACGUCUUCCUCCGGUGUCGCUGAAUCCCAGCUGGUGGGUGCCUGAUAUGUGAUGCUGAACGGUGACAGUGACCUUGGCCCGCGGGGAAAGCCCGAGCUUGAGAGGCACUUAGGCGCAAGGGACCCAGGGUGAUUGUGUCCCCCAGUUCUCUCAGACCAGGCAUCCAUCACCCUGGUGGAGGCUGGAGAGCCAGGCUGACUCCGCGGACAUGUCCCCGUGGUCGGUCCUCCUCUGGGGGUGGUCAGGGGCCCACAACACAGGAGGAGCUGGGUGCUGACCUGGGCUGACUGGGCCGACCUUGGGCCAGGCUGGCUGCACUGGACCAGUCCCUGGGCUGUGGGGGCCACACUGUCCCUCAAAGGAUGGGCUGGGCUCCCUGGAUGCAGUGAAACCACUUUGAGGCCCGAGGAAGGGGCUUCCUGGGCCCAGUGGCCCAGUGGAGGGCUGGUCCUGGAGACCCCAGGGACCACUGACGCCUUCCUUGUCUUUUUAACAAGAAUUCCUCCUCCUUUGGCCAGGCCUGCACAGAGAGGUUGUGGGAGGUGGAGUGAGCUGAAUCGGAAUGCAGACAGAGAGCACUGACUUGGCCCCGUGUCUGGCACAUGGUGGCACCGGACAAGCCCUCAUGGGCACCACCUCACCUAUUCCCUCAGGAGAGCCUUCCAGAAACUCUGGGAAAUGCUAGCUGUCCAGUUCCUGAGUUGAUGGCCUCCUAGCCACGUUGUUGGGUAACCUAGGGGUGGUCCAGAGUUUCUUUCCCCUUUAAUCCUAAGGACACACUCUUUUAGAAAACAAAGCUCCUUUUGCAUAAAAAAGUAGUCAUUAACUAGUCCUAAGCUAACCUGUUAGGAGACUUCAAGGACUUGUUGGGAGAGAAUGCCUUAUUUGGAACAAACAUAUCAAGGGAAGGUUGGUUCUGAUGUUCACACCCAAUGUACCGUGGGUGUGAUUGAGUUUCAUUCUUGCAGGAAUGUGCCAGGUGAAUUCCAACCCGUGCACAUGUAAUGCAUUUGUCUAAAAGACAAUCAGGCAGUUUCCAGGUGCCCAAAACCUCCCUGGCACUCGGAAUAUGACGAAGAAUGGGAUGUGGUCCUGUCUUCAGGGCCCCUCCCUCCCAAACCCCAUCAGACCCGCCCCCAGUCCCCGGGACUCUCAGCUCUGCUCCUCGAGUUCCUGUACCCUCCCCAGCCCCCGCCCCACCAGAGCGGUCAGCCCUACACCUCACUGCUGUCCAUGAGGGCAAGUCCUCAAGGGCAUAAAGCAGAUGCGCUGUUUGUGUAUCUUUGAAAGACUUUUCAUGUUAAUAAACUCUCACAUCAGGAAAAUAAAGUUCUUGGGGUGGCCCCAGGUCCCAGCUUUUUAAUGAGCCAAUAUUGUCACCACAUCUGCUGCAUGUGGUUGGGACUUGCUGUCCUGCUUCCCAUUUAAGUUGCUGGACUUUUAUAGACGUGCGUCUUAUGUUCUCAAUUAGCUCUAAGCUUUUAAAACUGGGACUGCAUAAUGUCACACUCCUCAUUUUAUCCCUCCCGCGCUGAUCAUGAAGGAACAAAUGAAUGGGCUUGCGAGGGAAUUCCUAGACCCCAGGGUACCUGCACAAUUUUCUCUGGAUCAGAGUUUAGGAAACCAGAGUUAUUGAUGCUAAUGGCUCCCUUCUCUCACUUAUUUUUCUUUCACUAGUGUGGAGAACACUGGCUUUAGGGUCAGGCCGGCCUGGGUCUAAAUCCCAGCUCUGAGACUUGUGAGCUGUGGCAUCAGGUCAAUUACUUGACCGCUCUGAAACCUGCUUUCCUCCCACCCACCCCCCCUUCCUCCUUCUGUCUCUCUCCCUUCCCGAGUUUUAGCACCAAAGUCAAGACUGACCCAGGACGGUUUGGAAGAGCUCCCUAAACAUGUCGGAUAAACAGCCUGCCCAUGCCUGCACCCCUGCUCUCUCUGUCCCCAUGGGAUAGUAGGAAAAGUGGGGCUCUUCCCAGGCCACGGGGCAGGUGCCCAAUGCUCUGGCAUAAUCUAUUCUUGGAGCUGGGCCGCAAAACAGGCCCAGGAGAAGGUGCAGACGGGAUUAUCCCACAAGGAAAGAAACAUCCAAGUGAAGUUCAGUACGUGCUCCCAAGGGUGCCGGCCUGGGAAGGCGCAGCCUGGAUAAAAUACUGGUGCUUUGGGGCAUCUGCUGGCUGUGCGGGGCUCCUGGGAGAGGGAGGCGGCCCUAGUGGGUGGGGUGGGGGGCAGUGGGUUAGGGAGCCUGGGUUGCCUCUGGGAUAUUCCUACAGCCACUCCGGUGACAUCUUCUGGGGUGUAGAAAGGUUUUCAGGGGAUCCCUGGCCACACAUGCAUCCUCAGUGACUGUCCAGAUGCUUUAAGCUUUCAGCCAGUUUUGAAUUGGGGCUUCUGAUUGCCGUGUUCUUGCUGGUUUCCUGAGGGGCUCACGGGUGAUGUCCAGUGGCCCUGGCACCCGCCCGAGGCCAGUGACACAGCUCCGCCCAUCCACAGUGUCUGAGAAAACGGGCUGCUCCGGCAGAGGCCAGCCCGGGAGUCCUCCCCAGCCCUUCCUUCCGGAGGCAAACAGCCGGGGUGACACUGACCUCGUCUGGCGCAGCCGCCGCCCUAGUGCGCAGCAGUGGUAUCACCGCUCAGCCCCCCGGUGCUGUAGCGUUUUCCUUGUCCCCGCCGUGCAGGCACCUUGACAGGAUAAGUUAGCAAAAUGCCACGGCUCUCAGAGCGCGACACUCCAACCACAGCUUCUGAGCCUGGCUUCACGGUCCUUAAAAUAGAACCAGGUCCCCGUGGUCGCCGGGCUGUCGGCGCCGCCUCCUCAGAGAUGAUUAUCUGAGAACCCGGCUGAGCUGAGCCAUGCCGGCCACUCGUUCCAGACGGUGCCGGGCUCAGCAGAGCCCAGCAAGGCCACCCAGCAGACCCCGAAACACGCGUGUCCCCGAGCCUUCACCCCAGAACUGCCCAUAUAGCGGCGCCCAGACUGGUGAGCAAAGAACAUGGCACCGACUGUUCCCGAGGUCGUGUGGUUUCUUCUGUGGUUGUCGCUAUGGCAAUGGAUAACUGAUGAGAAAACAGUAGCGCCUCCCAGACAUGCUUGCUGUAGAGCAUUCAUUGUAGAAGGUGUAAAAAUGUACAAAGUGGAAAAGGUCACCCUAAAGCCCACCAGGUGGAGAAAACUAUGACCCACACCUCCAUGCUCUGGAGAGUUUUCUAAAAGUGUAUUUAGAGCAAAAUUGAGCAAAAAUCUUAACACUGAUCAGUAUUUUCCUGACCAACUUUGUGUUCCUUUUUGCUUUGGCAGCUAGGAAACUCUUGAUUAACGUUUCAGCCCAACUUCAGAAGUGGGGAAGAAGCCUACUUAGAUUUCUUUUGUUUGUUAUUCUUCUCCCUGGUCUUAUUUUACUGGGUUACUUUUUCCUUUCCCUUCCCUCUGAGUUCUUUAUUUAUGUUUUAACUUUAAUCUUAUAAUGUGCAUUUUCUGUAAACGUCAUGCAAUAAAAUAAAACAAAGUUUUGCUCAAAUAAAUUCGAGUGAACCAGGGAGAAGUGAAGGGAAGAAACCACCCCGAGACUGUUUAACACCUUGAAAUUCAUUUUUAUUUACCAUUCCUCUCUUCAUGUCUUGAGUAUUUAUGGCAGACCCAGGACACUUAGGUCCACACAGUGAGGAGGGAGCUGCCAUGGGAGCCCCGGAAGAGGUGUAGGCUCAUCUUUGCGUGAGGGGUUGGGGGAACGCGGCCAGAUGGGGGGAGAAGGGGCAGAGUAUAACUUGUCCUAGAAAUCAGGAAGGAGGCCUGGAGGGGACAGAUGUGAUGGUGGAGAAAAGGCCCGUCCGAGGAGGUGACAUCUGAUCCACAAGAUGAACUGUGAGAAGGAACUUUCUUGCCCUUCCAGAAGCUUCUGGAAGUUUCCUGAGGUUGCCCUCAGGAGCUCAGAGAGUGUCUGAAGCUGUCAGGGCCACACCAGGAGUUCUGAUGGCAGUGGUCCUGUGCCCCCAGGGAGGUGGGCAGAGAGGAGGCCACCCAGUUACCUCAAGCACAGGCUGCCGGAGGGGACCACGGCAGCUCCAGGCCUCAGCCUGGUGCCCGGCCGUGUCCUGAGGACUGAGGUGGGCCACCUUCAGAUGCUUCCCAGAGACCCGGGGAGCCUCCCCGCAGAACCCAGAGAACAGCCCGAAGGAGCCCAGUGCCCUGGGAGCUGCCCGCUGGGUGAGGGGCUGGGAGGGACGUUCACACGCUCUCCCUUCACCCUGGACGCCUGGGAGGAAGGAACCCAAAGAGUCACCCGGGGCGGAGGCCGGGGAGGGGUGGGCAGCCAUCAACCGUGUCACAGACUCGCUGCGGCCAGAGAGGCCCGGCCCGUCAGAGGCAGAGAGAAGGCCGCUGUCCUGCCAGAGGGCAGCACCCAGCCCUGCACCUCUGCCCUGUCGGUGACACCACCCUCCCUGGGCUCUGUCGCUGCCGCGCCCAUGCACGCACACCCUCACACUUAAACACACACACACACACACACACCCUCCUUCCCCCUGAGCCUGAGCUGUUUCUGGCAGGGGGUGGGUUCUCACAGGGUCACAGGCUCUUGUCUCCAAGGUGCCAACGAUGGGACCCCAGGCAGCGUGAGGGCCGGAGCUUAGGGUCAGCCUCCACGUGCCCAGCAUGGCCCAUCCUGGUCUCACAGCAGCUGGGCUCAGGCCCUCACCAUGACACGGGGCACAGACACACACCUUGAGCACAGACACACCACGAACACGCCGUGGGCUCUAGCAGCAACAGAAAGAAUCUUAGUGCGAUUCCAGCUCUUUAUGUUUCAGUAUGAGUUUGUGUGCUCUGAUUUUUUUGUGAUUUUUAGUGUGUAUCCUUAAGGAGCAUCGUGGGCUCUGUUUUUAAAACCUCACAUUUCGGGCUUCCCUGGUGGCGCAGUGGUUGGGAGUCCGCCUGCCGAUGCAGGGGACACGGGUUCGUGCCUUGGUCCGGGAAGAUCCCACAUGCCACGGAGCGGCUGGGCCCGUGAGCCAUGGCCGCUGGGCCUGCGCGUCCGGAGCCUGUGCUCCGCAACGGGAGAGGCCACAACAGUGAGAGGCCCGCGUACUGCAAAAACAAAACAAACCAAAACAGAACAAAACCCCUCACAUUUCAAAAGCCACUGCUAAAUAUACUGCUAAAACCAUCUAUGUUCUUCUGGGUACUCGUAAUGAGUAAAGACAAAAUGGAUUGAACUUAUCAAAUAUUAUUUAUUAAUAUUUUCCAAGAUAAGUGUUUCCCAAGUGUGGAAUAUAUGACUGGUAAUUUAGAAAAUAACUUUAGGUAGUCCGUGUAUGAAUGCUUUUAUCUUCUUCUAAAAUUUCUUUCACUAAAGUACAGCUGAUUUACAAUGUUGUGUUAAUUUCUGCCUGUGCGGCAAGUGACUCAGUCACACGUAUACACAUUCUUUUUCAUGUUCUUUUCCAUCAUGGUUUAUCCCAGGAGACUGAAUAUAGUUCCCUGUGCUCUACAGUAGGUCCUUGUUGUUUAUCCAUCCUAUAGAUAAUAGUUUGCAUCUGCUGACCCCAAACUCCCAAACCAUCCCUCACCCCUCCUCCUGACCCUUACCCCCGCCUAGGCAACCACAAGUCUGUUCUCUAUGUCUCUGAGUCUGUUUCUGUUUUGUUGAUAAGUUCAUUUGUGUCGUAUUUUAGAUUCCACAUAUAAGUGAUAUCAUACGGUAUUUGUCUUUCUCUGACUUACUUCACUUAGUAUGAUAAUCUCUGGGUCCAUCCAUGUUGCUGCAAAUGGCAUGAUUUCAUUCUUUUUUAUGGCUGAGUAGUAUUCCGUUGUAUAUAUGUACCACACCUUCUUUAUACUGAAUGCUUUUAUCUUAAUGGUUAUUUGUUUCAAUGUGUACUAAGAAAAGAAAAUACUGCAGACCCAUGACCUGGUGGUUAUUUUUGCUUAAGGAAAAGGCUAUACUAUGUUUUUAAGUUAAAAAGUGAAUCAAUUUAAGGAAAAAUAAAAGGCAAUGAUGCUGCAAGUGGUAAGAAAAUACGGCUGAAAUUAUGGGAAAACAUACAAAAGUUGGAGAACUGUACAGCAUGAACAAAACAUGUUCUCUAACUGAAGAGCUGAUUUCUCACAGUGCACUUUUUUUUUUAUGGUUCUGUUUUUCAUUCCUUUUUCCUGUCAUGUCAACAUAACCCAUGUAAAUGGACUGUAUUUUCUUUGCUAUUGAUGCUUUUGGUGUUUGGAAAAUCACAUAUCCUAUUUUAAAUUAUACUAGUGAGUAUAUUCAAGAUUUCAAAGUAAUUCUUUAAUUUACACUUUUGAAACAGUGUACAAAGUGGGUUUUGUGUGUGCAUGCGUCUGCAUGUGUGUACGUACGUGCAGGAGAGAGGCCGUGAAGGACCCUUUAUUCUCCUCCCUGCCCCCACACCCCUCUGCCCUCAACUUCUUGACUUUUGUUCAUUUAAUCUGGGGUUUCUGUUCCUGAUAGUUUUGUUGUUCAUUUUCUAUUUUGCAGUUUUUUUUUUUUUUUGGAACUUGGUAGAUUUAGAAGUUUUGCUUUUUUUAAACUGGUCUCAGUGGUCUUGGCCAGUGUUUCCAUGGAUGACUUUCCCUUUCUUGAGCUCAUUUUUGCUUCUUAUCUCAGUGGCUGAAACAUAUUUUCAAGUAAAUUUUUCCAGGAAGGUGUAUUCUUUGUAAGUUCUUGUGGAUUUGAUAUGAUUCCUGUUGUUUUUAACUAAAUAAUCUUUUUGAUGAGAGCACAAGAACAUGAUUUAAACACGCAAGCCUGUCUUUACGCAGGAAUCCAAGCUGGACUGGCUUCGAGGUGUGAGGGUCACGUUCUCUCUUCCUACAGCUCUUUAUAUGUGGCUUCCUUCCAUGCUGGCACAGAGGGCUGCGUCGUAGAAAUCUAAGAUAAUCUUAAUUUGUAUUUCCUUGCAUGUGAUUUUUUUUCCUCUUCUGGGUUCUCACGGUGUUUUGACUAUUACCUUACCCCACUUUGGGGAUAUUUAUAAUGUUAAGUAAGAGGUACUGUAUUGCUCUUCACAAAUCCUUAUUUACAGCUCCUAAACUCAAUAUCCAAGGAGACAAAAUCAUACACUUAAUAUUUUAAUAGGCCUAAGAAAUAACAUUUCAAUGUACCAAGAGUUCUUAAGAAAGACAUUUUAAGCAAAAAACACCAGGGCUAAAGCAGCUGUCCAUCGAUUUCCUAUCCAUGGGGGACUCAGAGCCUGGAGUAAGAGCCCCGUUGUCAGGGUUCCCUCCACCGGGAAGGUUGGGGACGUUGGCAGUUCAUCCCUGAAGCCCCAUGAGGCUGUAGCACUCUUGCUUUUAUGGUUCUAGGACUGUGGGUAAAUGGGUUUUAGCCAUGAAAGGAAAUAGGUGGUCCUUCAGCUGCAAGAAACAGAAACUCUGACUCAAACGGGCUUUAAAAGAAGAAAGGAAAUGUAUUACCUCACACAUCAGGAAACGGGAAGCCCUGGGCGGGCGUGGGGUGUGGAUGCCGUGACUCAGUGGUUCAGCCCGGCCAUUGGUCACCUGCGACUCUCCAUCCGAAGGCCGGUUUUCCCCUGUCGUCAGACGCUGAGGGCUGCAGGCGCUGGGCUGCAUCUUCCACGCCAGUCCCAGGGAGAGGGCCCUGCCCCAGCGCGGGACUGGGAACCCUUCUCUGCACUCUGACGCACUGUUCUCCCUGCAGGACCUAAACUGUGACCAGAUGGGGUACCGGCUGUGUGCCCAGAGGCUCCUCUCUGGUCCUGAGCCCUAGACCCCAGGGCUGCAGACCCCCGGCUGGACUGGCCCACUGCGCCCCCUGCGGCAGGAAGAUGAGAUUACAUGGGGAGGGGAUAGAAAUGGGAACAGAAUCGUAAUUCUGUAUCUACAAAAGAAAAACAGACUCACAGACACAGAGAUCAGACUUGUGGUUGCCAAGGGGGAGGGGGUUGGGGAGGGAUGGAAUGGGAGUUUGGGGUCAGCAGAUGCAAACUAUUGUGUACAGGAUGGAUAAACCACAAGGUCCUGCUGUGCAGUACAGGGAAUUACAUUCACUAUCCUGGGAUAAACCAUCAUGGAAAAGAAUGUGGAAAAGAAUAUGCGUGUAUGUGUAACUGAGUCACUUUGCUGUACAGCAGAAAUUAACACAACGUUGUAAAUCAACUAGACUUCAAUAAAAUUUUUAAAACUGUGGUUCUUUCAGCGGGAGAAAGUGUCCCCUGUGGAUGGAGUUGGGGGGGACAGAUUGCUCACCCUCCUCCUGUGUUCUAAUUGGUGGAGACGAGAAAAAACCCAAUGGAGGCUGGAGAAUCAGCUCCAUGAACAGGGCGAGUGCCUCAUAGCCCCAGAGAACGGGGCGCUUUGGGCAAGCGGGACUGGGGAAUCUA